rnacentral:rRNA from 1 species
GAUGAACGCUGGCGGCGUGCCUAAUACAUGCAAGUCGAGCGAACAGACGAGGAGCUUGCUCCUCUGACGUUAGCGGCGGACGGGUGAGUAACACGUGGAUAACCUACCUAUAAGACUGGGAUAACUUCGGGAAACCGGAGCUAAUACCGGAUAAUAUAUUGAACCGCAUGGUUCAAUAGUGAAAGACGGUUUUGCUGUCACUUAUAGAUGGAUCCGCGCCGCAUUAGCUAGUUGGUAAGGUAACGGCUUACCAAGGCAACGAUGCGUAGCCGACCUGAAAGGGUGAUCGGCCACACUGGAACUGAGACACGGUCCAGACUCCUACGGGAGGCAGCAGUAGGGAAUCUUCCGCAAUGGGCGAAAGCCUGACGGAGCAACGCCGCGUGAGUGAUGAAGGUCUUCGGAUCGUAAAACUCUGUUAUUAGGGAAGAACAAAUGCGUAAGUAACUAUGCACGUCUUGACGGUACCUAAUCAGAAAGCCACGGCUAACUACGUG